AGAGUUUGAUCAUGGCUCAGAUUGAACGCUGGCGGCAGGCCUAACACAUGCAAGUCGAACGGUAACAGGAAGAAGCUUGCUUCUUUGCUGACGAGUGGCGGACGGGUGAGUAAUGUCUGGGAAACUGCCUGAUGGAGGGGGAUAACUACUGGAAACGGUAGCUAAUACCGCAUAACGUCGCAAGACCAAAGAGGGGGACCUUCGGGCCUCUUGCCAUCGGAUGUGCCCAGAUGGGAUUAGCUAGUAGGUGGGGUAACGGCUCACCUAGGCGACGAUCCCUAGCUGGUCUGAGAGGAUGACCAGCCACACUGGAACUGAGACACGGUCCAGACUCCUACGGGAGGCAGCAGUGGGGAAUAUUGCACAAUGGGCGCAAGCCUGAUGCAGCCAUGCCGCGUGUAUGAAGAAGGCCUUCGGGUUGUAAAGUACUUUCAGCGGGGAGGAAGGGAGUAAAGUUAAUACCUUUGCUCAUUGACGUUACCCGCAGAAGAAGCACCGGCUAACUCCGUGCCAGCAGCCGCGGUAAUACGGAGGGUGCAAGCGUUAAUCGGAAUUACUGGGCGUAAAGCGCACGCAGGCGGUUUGUUAAGUCAGAUGUGAAAUCCCCGGGCUCAACCUGGGAACUGCAUCUGAUACUGGCAAGCUUGAGUCUCGUAGAGGGGGGUAGAAUUCCAGGUGUAGCGGUGAAAUGCGUAGAGAUCUGGAGGAAUACCGGUGGCGAAGGCGGCCCCCUGGACGAAGACUGACGCUCAGGUGCGAAAGCGUGGGGAGCAAACAGGAUUAGAUACCCUGGUAGUCCACGCCGUAAACGAUGUCGACUUGGAGGUUGUGCCCUUGAGGCGUGGCUUCCGGAGCUAACGCGUUAAGUCGACCGCCUGGGGAGUACGGCCGCAAGGUUAAAACUCGAAUGAAUUGACGGGGGCCCGCACAAGCGGUGGAGCAUGUGGUUUAAUUCGAUGCAACGUGAAGAACCUUACCUGGUCUUGACAUCCACGGAAGUUUUCAGAGAUGAGAAUGUGCCUUCGGGAACCGUGAGACAGGUGCUGCAUGGCUGUCGUCAGCUCGUGUUGUGAAAUGUUGGGUUAAGUCCCGCAACGAGCGCAACCCUUAUCCUUUGUUGCCAGCGGUCCGGCCGGGAACUCAAAGGAGACUGCCAGUGAUAAACUGGAGGAAGGUGGGGAUGACGUCAAGUCAUCGUGGCCCUUACGACCAGGGCUACACACGUGCUACAAUGGCGCAUACAAAGAGAAGCGACCUCGCGAGAGCAAGCGGACCUCAUAAAGUGCGUCGUAGUCCGGAUUGGAGUCUGCAACUCGACUCCAUGAAGUCGGAAUCGCUAGUAAUCGUGGAUCAGAAUGCCACGGUGAAUACGUUCCCAGGCCUUGUACACACCGCCCGUCACACCAUGGGAGUGGGUUGCAAAAGAAGUAGGUAGCUUAACCUUCGGGAGGGCGCUUACCACUUUGUGAUUCAUGACUGGGGUGAAGUCGUAACAAGGUAACCGUAGGGGAACCUGCGGUUG
rnacentral:rRNA from 1 species